rnacentral:rRNA from 1 species
AUUGAACGCUGGCGGCAGGCCUAACACAUGCAAGUCGAACGAGUGGCGGACGGGUGAGUAAUGUCUGGGAAACUGCCUGAUGGAGGGGGAUAACUACUGGAAACGGUAGCUAAUACCGCAUACCAUCAGAUGUGCCCAGAUGGGAUUAGAUAGGUGGUGGGGUAACGGCUAACCAAGGCGACGAUCCCUAGCUGGUCUUAGAGGAUGACCAGCAACACUGUAACUGAGACACGGUCCAGACUCAUACGGGAGGCAGCAGUGGUGAAUAUUGGACAAUGGGCGAAAGCCUGAUCCAGCCAUGCCGCGUGUGUGAAGAAGGUCUUCGGAUUGUAAAGCACUUUAAGUUGGGAGGCGUUACCAACAGAAUAAGCACCGGCUAACUCCGUGCCAGCCGCCGCGGUAAUAC